rnacentral:rRNA from 1 species
AGCAGCCGCGUAAUUCCAGCUCCAAUAGCGUAUAAUAAAGUUGUUGCAGUUAAAAAGCUCGUAGUUGAAUUUCGGGGUUAGUAGGUUGGUCGUGCCUCUGGUAUGUACUCGCCUUACUGAUUCCUCCUUCUUGAAGAACUGUAAUGCCAUUAAUUUGGUGUUGCAGGGAAACAGGACUGUUACUUUGAAAAAAUUAGAGUGUUUAAAGCAGGCCGAUGCCUGAAUACAUUAGCAUGGAAUAAUGAAAUAGGACGUUGAUCCUAUUUUGUUGGUUUCUAGGAUUGACGUAAUGAUAAAUAGGGAUAGUUGGGGGCAUUAGUAUUCAAUUGUCAGAGGUGAAAUUCUUGGAUUUAUUGAAGACUAACUACUGCGGAAGCUUUGCCAAGGAUGUUUUCAUUAAUCAAGAACGAAAGUUAGGGGAUCGAAGACGAUCAGAUACCGUCGUAGUCUUAACCAUAAACUAUGCCGACUAGGACCGGAUGAUGUUAAUUUUUUAAUGACUCAUUCGCGCUACGG